GACGAACGCUGGCGGCGUGCUUAACACAUGCAAGUCGAACGGAAAGACCCUGAUUUUGUUGGGUGCUCGAGUGGCGAACGGGUGAGUGACACGUGAGUAACAUGCCCUUGAAUUUGGGAUAAAUUCAGGAAAAUGGGGCUAAUACAGGAUAGGAGCUACUGCAGCAUGGUGGGGGUUGGAAAGAUUCGGCGGUUGGGGAUGGACUGGCGGGUUAUCAGCUUGUUGGGGGGGUAGUGGCUGACAAAGGCUUUGACGGGUAGCCGGCCUGAGAGGGUGACCGGCCACAUUGGGACUGAGAUACGGCCCAGACUCCUACGGUAGGCAGCAGUGGAGAAUAUUGCACAAUGGGCGGAAGCCUGAUGCAGCAACGCCGCGUGCGUGAUGACGGCCUUCUGGUUGUAAACCGCUGUCGCCUGUGACGAAGCGUUAGUGACGGUAAUUGGUAAAGAAGCACCGGCUAACUACGUG
rnacentral:rRNA from 1 species